rnacentral:rRNA from 1 species
UGCCAGACUCCUACGGGAGGCAGCAGUGGGGGAUAUUGCACAAUGGGGGGAACCCUGAUGCAGCGACGCCGCGUGGGUGAAGAAGCGCCUCGGCGCGUAAAGCCCUGUCAGCAGGGAAGAAAAUGACGGUACCUGAAGAAGAAGCCCCGGCUAACUACGUGCCAGCAGCCGCGGUAAUACGUAGGGGGCAAGCGUUAUCCGGAUUUACUGGGUGUAAAGGGCGCGUAGGCGGGAUGGCAAGUCAGAUGUGAAAUCCAAGGGCUCAACCCUUGAACUGCAUUUGAAACUGUCGUUCUUGAGUACUGGAGAGGUUGACGGAAUUCCUAGUGUAGCGGUGAAAUGCGUAGAUAUUAGGAGGAACACCAGUGGCGAAGGCGGUCAACUGGACAGCAACUGACGCUGAGGCGCGAAAGCGUGGGGAGCAAACAGGAUUAGAUACCCUUGUAGU